rnacentral:miRNA from 1 species
AAUUCUGGACAAGUGCCUAC